CCUACGGGUGGCAGCAGUAGGGAAUCUUCCACAAUGGGCGAAAGCCUGAUGGAGCAACGCCGCGUGGGUGAAGAAGGUCUUCGGAUCGUAAAACCCUGUUGUUAGAGAAGAACGUGCGUGGGAGUAACUGUUCACGUUUCGACGGUAUCUAACCAGAAAGCCCCGGCUAACUACGUGCCAGCAGCCGCGGUAAUACGUAGGUUGCAAGCGUUAUCCGGAAUUAUUGGGCGUAAAGGGAACGCAGGCGGUCUGUUAAGUCUGAUGUGAAAGCCUUCGGCUUAACCGGGGUAGUGCAUUGGAAACUGGGAGACUUGAGUGCAGAAGAGGAGAGUGGAAUUCCAGGUGUAGCGGUGAAAUGCGUAGAUAUAUGGAAGAACACCAGUGGCGAAAGCGGCUAUCUGGUCCGUAACUGACGCUGAGGUUCGAAAGCGUGGGUAGCAAACAGGAUUAGAUACCCUUGUAGUC
rnacentral:rRNA from 1 species